rnacentral:siRNA from 1 species
AUGGCAAAGAGUCAAAGAACUGGG